GUGGGGGGGGACCCAUAGAUGGCAGAUCCCAUAGGGUGGGGGUCCCAUAGGGUGGGGGUCCCAUAGGGUGGGGUCCCCAUAGAUGGCAGAUCCCAUAGGGUGGGGGUCCCAUAGGGUGGGGGGUCCCAUGGGGUGGGGGGGCCCAUAGAUGGCAGAUCCCAUAGGGUGGGGGGGCCCCAUAGAUGGCAGAUCCCAUAGGGUGGGGGUCCCAUAGGGUGGGGGGGCCCAUAGAUGGCAGAUCCCAUUGGCUGGGGGGGUCCCAUAGAUGUCAGAUCCCAUAGGGUGGGGGUUCCCUUAGGGUGGGGGGGUCCCAUAGAUGGCAGAUCCCAUAGGGUGGGGGGGUCCCAUAGAUGGCAGAUCCCAUAGGGUGGGGGUCCCAUAGGGUGGGGUCCCAUUGGGUGGGGGGGACCCAUAGAUGGGAGAUCCCAUAGGGUGGGGGUUCCCAUUGGCUGGGGGGGUCCCAUAGAUGGCAGAUCCCAUAGGGUGGGGGUCCCAUAGGGUGUGGGGGUCCCCAUAGACGGCAGAUCCCAUAGGGUGCGGGGUCCCAAAGAUAAGAGAUCCCAUAGGGUGGGGGUCCCAUUGGCUGAGGGGGGCUCAUAGAUGGGAGAUCCCAUAGGGUGGGGGUCCCAUAGGGUGGGGGGGUCCCAUAGAUAAGACAUCCCAUAGAGUGGGGGAUCCUAUGGGUGGGGGGGUCCCAUGGAUGGCAGAUCCCAUAGGGUGGGGGGGGCCCAUAGAUGGCAGAUCCCAUUGGGUGGGGGUUCCCAUAGGGUGGGGGGGCCCAUAGAUGUCAGAUCCCAUAGGGUGGGGGUUCCCAUAGGGGUGGGGGGCCCAUAGAUGUCAGAUCCCAUAGGGUGGGGGUCCCAUAGGGUGGGGGGGCCCAUAGAUGUCAGAUCCCAUAGGGUGGGGGUUCCCAUAGGGGUGGGGGGGCCCAUAGAUGGCAGAUCCCAUAGGGUGGGGGGGUCCCAUAGAUAAGAGAUCCCAUAGGGUGGGGUGGCCCCAUAGAUGGCAGAUCCCAUUGGGUGGGGGUCCCAUUGGCUGGGGGGGUCCCAUAGAUGGCAGAUCCCAUAGGGUGGGGGUCCCAUAGGGUGGGGGGGCCCAUAGAUGGCAGAUCCCAUAGGGUGGGGGGGUCCCAUAGAUAAGAGAUCCCAUAGGGUGGGGGGGUCCCAUAGAUGGCAGAUCCCAUAGGGUGGGGGUCCCAUAGGGUGGGGUCCCAUUGGGUGGGGGGGUCCCAUAGAUGGCAGAUCCCAUAGGGUGGGGGUUCCCAUAGGGUGGGGGGGCCCAUAGAUGUCAGAUCCCAUAGGGUGGGGGUCCCAUAGGGUGGGGGGGCCCAUAGAUGGCAGAUCCCAUAGGGUGGGGGUUCCCAUAGGGUGGGGGGGCUCAUAGAUGGGAGAUCCCAUAGGGUGGGGGGGUCCCAUAGAUAAGAGAUCCCAUAGGAUGGGGGGGUCCCAUAGAUGGCAGAUCCCAUAGGGUGGGGUGGCCCCAUAGAUGGCAGAUCCCAUAGGGUGGGGGUCCCAUAGGGUGUGGGGGUCCCCAUAGACGGCAGAUCCCAUAGGGUGGGGGAUCCUAUGGGUGGGGGGGUCCCAUAGAUGUCAGAUCCCAUAGGGUGGGGGUCCCAUAGGGUGGGGGGGCCCAUAGAUGUCAGAUCCCAUAGGGUGGGGGUUCCCAUAGGGUGGGGGGGCUCAUAGAUGGGAGAUCCCAUAGGGUGGGGGGGUCCCAUAGAUGGCAGAUCCCAUAGGGUGGGGGGUCCCAUAGAUGGCAGAUCCCAUAGGGUGGGGGUCCCAUAGUGUGUGGGGGUCCCCAUAGACGGCAGAUCCCAU
ensembl:lncRNA